rfam:Sorghum bicolor cultivar BTx623 chromosome 5, whole genome shotgun sequence.
UGGCUAUAAAAUAAUUUAUUUUAUAGCCACUUUGAGUUACGAUAAUUAUUAUAUUAAUUUAUAAGAUUAUAGUAACUUAUUACUAAGUGGUUUACUAUAAUAUUACGGUAAAUAUCCCCAUAUGUUAGAGUAACUCAACUAUUGUAAAUAUGUAUACAUAUUAUCGUAAAUUAGUAUAUAAAAUUAUCGUAAAUAGAGGUGGCUACAGAAUAACAUAUUUUGUAGCUA